UAAUUUCAGAACAAUGAAAUUAUUGGCGAUAGAUAGAACUUUUGGAUGAUUUUUUAGAUUAAGAGAAGUUACUAAACAGAAUAAAGAUGUGGGUUCUGGAGCCAAUGCAGAAAGUUAUCCUAAUUGCUGUAUCAUCUGCUGUGCUUGGAGCAGGAGCAAUCGUUCUCAUCAUCUUAGCAAUAUCAUACAGAUACAGAGGGAGCAAAGAGAAAGAAAGAGCAGUGUUGAAUGGUUUAGUUUAUGGGACUACUGGGAAGACUGGAGUCAAGUUAAAGCACUUUCAACAACAAGAGGUAAAUUUUAUUGAAUCAGA